GGAGAUUCUGAGGAGAAUUCUAAUGAGAAACAAUCAAAUUCAAAUGAUACAGAAGAGAAAAACGAUGAUGAGAAAAAAACAGAUGACUCAAAUGAUGCUAAAGAUGGAGAAAAUAAUAACGGUCAGGAAGGGGAGAAUGUGAAGCUAAAUGAAAAAAGCUCUGAUGACACUAAUGAAAAUAACCAAUCCAAAAACCCGACUUCUGGUGAGGAGUUUCCUUCUGGUGCUCAGUCGGAGCUUUUGAAUGAAACAUCAACACAAAAUGGGGCAUGGUCAACUCAGGCAGCAGAGUCAAAGAAUGAAAAAGAGACUCAAAGAUCUUCCACGAAACAAGCUGGGUACAAGUGGAAAAUUUGCAACGUUACUGCUGGACCAGAUUACAUUCCUUGCCUUGACAAUUUGCAAGCAAUUAGGAGUCUUCCAAGUACAAAACAUUAUGAACAUCGAGAGAGGCAU
rnacentral:misc_RNA from 1 species